rnacentral:rRNA from 1 species
UACGGGGGGGGCAAGCGUUGUUCGGAAUUACUGGGCGUAAAGGGCUCGUAGGCGGCCAACUAAGUCGGAUGUGAAAUCCCCAGGCUCAACUUGGGAACUGCAUCCGAUACUGGAUGGCUUGAAUUCGGGAGAGGGAUGCAGAAUUCCAGGUGUAGCGGUGAAAUGCGUAGAUAUCUGGAGGAACACCGGUGGCGAAGGCGGCAUCCUGGACCAACACUGACGCUGAGUGAGCGAAAGCCAGGGGAGCAAACGGG